UCCAAGUACUGAAUUGAAUCAGUGCUACCUGGGAUAUCUGCAGAGUGUCAUUGAGAUGUCCUUGACCCUGAGGUCCUUUGGAGCAUCCACUCUGACAACUUGCAGAUCUGUGCUGCCCUUCUCUCUCUGAUCAGGUGGAAAAGCCUGUCCCUUUCUCACGCAAAGCUUUUUUUCACAGGGAAAUCCCACAGCAGUGUGUGCCAAGUGUGCCUAACAAUUCAGUUCUUUCAGGGAGCUACCCAGAAAGGUACGUGGGCUCCUGGUGAGUUGGCUGCUUCGUUUUAGUACACAACCUUCUCCUUCCUUGGACUGACUGGAGGCAGGUUCAAAUACAGCUUUAUAAAAUCCUCACAAACACCCUCCCCUAGCAUUCAGGCCUGGUGGCUGAUUCCACCCUCUAUGGAAACUCCUUCCUCAGUUGUGGAAGUUUCCCUUAAGGAAUCCAUUACUUCCCACAAUCUGUGUUUCAUCAAACAAUAUUCAUUUUAAAACCCAAAUUUUAUUUUCCAUAGUACUUCUGGAUCCAAGAAAAUCAAGGGAAGGGGCUGUUUCAGACAUCGUGUAACAACAGUCCAGAGCCCAGCAUGACUUCCAGGUUCUGCACCAACCAUGACACUGAUAUAUAACGAUAAUCAGAGUGCUGGCAACUCCGCCAAGCCACCAGUUACCCUCCGUAUGUUACUUCCUCUGUGAAAUUUUCCCUGUACCCCUCUACUCACUGAGUUGCUUCCUCUCUUGUCCUUGGGCUUCCCCGAUAGCUCAGUCAGUAAAGAAUCUUCCUUCAGUGCAGGAGACCAGGGUUCGAUCCCUGAUCAGGAAGAUUCCCUGGAGAAGGAAACGGCAACCCACGCCAGUAUCCUUGCCUGGAGAAUUCCAUGGACAGAAGAGCCUGGCAGGCUGCAGUCCAUGGGGUCGCAAAGAGUUGGGCACGACUGAGCGACUUUCACUUCACUUUCACUUGUCCGAACUUCGAGCAGAGCUCUUACUACGCCUAUACACCCCCUCUCAGCCCUGACAGGGCAGGAAACUGUGCCAAAUGCAGGACGAAGAGUAAGGAUAAAUAUUUAUAGGAGGGAUGAGGAUUUGGGUAGUCCAGGCUACAUUCUAGGGCUUAAACACCAGGAAAGGGACUUUCUAUCAAGUCGAAAAACAACAAGGAGGUGUUACGUUUUCUUGAGGCAGGGCAAUUGGCUUGCACAAAGCAGCGUGCCUUAAAAAUAUGCCAGGUCAUUGAGUGAGAGUCGGAUGGGAAUGCGGGAAAACCAUUUAGGAAGUCACCCGCGGUGAUCCUGCAUUGAAAUGUGAAGUGCAAGAAGGUUGCAGUGGCGGGGAAAGGAAGAACUACAUCCGAAAGGUAUUUCAAAAGAAAUAAUAACCAAGGUAGAUUUGCUGAGUUCCCGCUAUUUGUUAGGCUGGGCCAACAGCACCGAAGUGGGUGUGGACUCAGCCCUAUUUCACCCAGGUGCAAAGUGAGGUUGACCAGAUUGAAUGAUUCUCUAGGGAUGACCCACCCGACAAGUGGCAAUGUUGAGCUUCCAGCUUAGGUCGUGGGGCUGCCGAAGCUUCAACUGGCCCAGCCCAGUCACCCAAGCUCUGCACAGGUGGGCUGUGGACAGUUCUCCUAAAUUUCUCAGUUCACUGAGAGGAGCCUCGCAGGGCCCUGGAGUUCAGGGCUGCUUUACAAGCUGCCGAGCCCUGUCGGGACCUUAGAGCUCGGCGCUUACGAGGGGAAAAAGGCUCGUGGCCGCGGAGGCUGGAGCUGACCGGGGCCCGGCCGAGCGGAAGCGGCUGAGUCACGGCAGUGCCAGAACGCUGCCGGCAGUUUAAGAUUAGUGAGCCGUGACGCUCGGCGGCCGCACCUGCGGAACUGUCGGGAACCCCAGCUGAGCCGAAGCGAUGAGUCAGCGCAGGUGACGCCCGCGGACGUUGGUGUGGAGGGCGGCCGCGUGGCUCCACGACCUCCGCGCCUCCGGCUCCCUAGGGCUGCGGAUGGCGGAUCCCAGGCCCUCCCCUUACAUCCGCUCCGCAGAGAUUAGGCGCAGGUUUUCCGUGAUCCCGCCCUGAGAUUGGAAUCUGAGACCCAAAUUUGACAUCUUCAGGAUUCCCCAAACAACAGAUGCUGUGUGCAGGUUUCAGUGGAAGCUCCUGACCUUGUGAAAAGCUCCUGACCUGUGUGUCUCAUAGACUGAGUGGGUGUUGAAGAUCAAAGUGGAGAAGAACUUCCAGAAUUCCAAGAGAAAAUGAACCUUGGUUUUCUGAGAUGACUCCCAACACGGUGGGAGCAUGCCAGAGGGAACUCCAGAGAUCCCUGAUAAACGUGAUCUGAAAGUCUUUCUCCAGUUUCUCCCCACUUGUGCAAUGCUGAAGCCAGAACCCAUUUUAGUAUGAUGAUGUUUUAUUGUUCCUUGUUUAUUUUUUAGUUAAAAGAUGACACCACAGAAAUUGCUGCGGGGGAGGGGAAUGACACCUAAUCACAGUCCAUCAACCAGAAACCACAAUUACUUCUGUUUCUCUCUUUACAUUACUGUUCAUAAAGAAGAGAUUUUUCACAUAGCUGCAACAGAGCCCUCAUUUUCUGUUUUACCGUUUUCAGGUAAUGUUAUGUAAACAUUGGCCCCUGUCGCACAGACCUUCAGGAUCAUUAUUUUAAAUUACUGCAUUAUGCUUACCACAUAAACUAUGCUCCUGUUGCUAUGCGUGUAGGUUGUUUUGUUGACUGUAGGAUGUUGACUGCUCUCAUUUCUGAUUGUCAGUCUUUGUCCUCCAUCCGAAAACGUUCUCACUGGGCAAAAUGAGGAAACU